rnacentral:lncRNA from 1 species
GGGUGUAUAAUGGGAAUAACAUCUGGUUUGUUUCUCAGGGUGUAUAAUGGGAAUAACAUCUGGUUUGUUUCUCAGGGUGUAUAAUUGGAAUAACAUCUGGUUUGUUUCUCAGGGUGUAUAAUGGGAAUAUGGCAGUGUGUCUCUGACAGUCACUUAGGGAGAUACUGUAUCUCUCUACACACACACACACACACACACACACACACACACACACACACACACACACACAGAGUGAUGGCAGGCCGUGGGGAAGUUGUUUUGGCCCUCAGCCAGGUCAUUUACUAGAGCGAUUCAAGUUUUACGUUUUAAUGUUAAAAUGCAGUGAAGACAGUGAAAAGCCUUUCCUGCUCUAAACCCAACGAUGCGGUGACCAACGUCAAUACAAAACACAACAGGUAAGAAGCCACUCUGAACGUCAAUACAAAACACAACAGGUAAGAAGCCACUCUGAACGUCAAUACAAAACACAACAGGUAAGAAGCUACUCUGAACGUCAAUACAAAACACAACAGGUAAGAAGCCACUCUGAACGUCAAUACAAAACACAACAGGUAAGAAGCCACUCUGAACGUCAAUACAAAACACAACAGGUAAGAAGCUACUCUGAACGUCAAUACAAAACACAACAGGUAAGAAGCCGCUCUGAACGUCAAUACAAAACACAACAGGUAAGAAGCCACUCUGAACGUCAAUACAAAACACAACAGGUAAGAAGCCGCUCUGAACGUCUAAAUGUUGACUCUCCCUCUCUUCUCCUCAUCUCUUCUCUCUCUACUCCUGUCUCCUCUCCCCUGUCUUUUCUCUCCUCUCCUCUCCUUUCCUCUAUCUGAAGGUGACAGUGUGGAACCAGACUCCAAUCACUCUGUUUCGCUCUGUUCCUAUUGAGAGGCGCACACACACCCUGCUUCCCAAACACCCACACCAGACAGACAGACAGACAGACAGACAGACAGACAGACAGACAGACAGACAGACAGACAGACAG